AUUGAACGCUGGCGGCAGGCCUAACACAUGCAAGUCGAGCGGAGCGGCGGAGGGGUGAGUAUUGCUUAUGAAUCUGCAUGUGAGUGGGGGAUAACGUUCGCAAACGGGAGCUGAUACCGCAUACUCUCGGAUGAGCCUGGUUCGACUUAGCUAGUUGGUGGGGUAAAGGCCUAGGAUGGCGACGAUCCGUAGCUGGAUUGAGAGGAUGAUCAGGCACACUGGAACUGAGACAGGGUCCUGACUCCUACGGGAGGCAGCAGUGGGGAAUAUUGGACUAUGGGCGAAAGCCUGAUCCAGCCAUGCCGCGUGUGUGAAGAAGGUCUUCGGAUUGUAAAGCACUUUAAGUUGGGAGGCGUUACCAACAGAAUAAGCACCGGCUAACUUCGUGCCAGCAGCCGCGGUAAUUC
rnacentral:rRNA from 1 species